UUACUUAUAUUAGCAUGGACUCAUGGAUAUUUACUUUAUAUUUUGGUUAUUAUCCAAUACUACUUUAUUUUAUUCCUCAAAUUGUUCCAGCUUUGGCCACUUGGAGCUCCUUCAGUUGGCCCCUAUGUCCGUUUGACAUAGCCCCAUCAUUGUGGGAUUUUCUUCUUCUUCUUUUUUAAAUUUUGAGCAUUUCCUUACUAGAUGCGUAUGCUUUUUACCAUAAGCUUUCAUACUAAAAUUAAGAAGAUUUGGGGGCUGAGGGUAGGAGAGGAUAGGUAUUCCUCUGAAGUCUGAGGAGCUAUUAUUACGUAAUUUUCUUUAUAUAAAGUCUACCCUUUCUAUAUGAUCAGUCCUUCCUAUAUUUAGCUACAAAAAUUUCCCUUUUCCAUCAGUCUGUAGUAACAGGGUCCUCAUUCUCCUUUUACCAGAAACUUCCAACAAAAGCACAGAAUUUGGGAGAGUGCCCAAGAUGGCAGAGUAGGAAGACCCUGAGCUCACCUCCUCCCAUGGGCACACCAAAAUUACAACUAUUUACACAGCAACUGUCAAUGAGGAUGACCCAAAGACUAGAAGAAAAGAUCUUCUAAAACUACAGAUAUAAAGAAGGAACCACAAUGAGACAGAUAUAUGCUUUAUUUUCUAUUGUGAAAAUAUCUAGAAGUGGAAUACUAGAUCAUAUGGUGAGAUCAUGCGACUGAUGGGGCAACUUCUGGAUUAUGUGCAUCGUCCUCUUCCCCUGCCGCUUCCCAUGGGCUGGAAUGAAGACGCGGUGGUCAUGGCUUCCAAUUCUUUACUUACUAGGGGGAUGUAACGGAACUGUCGGUUGAUAACGUAUUAGAUCCCUUCAGCUGCUAUUACAACUCAGCACAAACUUAGUGACUUAAAACAACACAGAUUUAUUCUCUUAUGGUUCUGGAGGUCAGAAGUCUGAAAACGGUUUCACGGAGCUAACGUGAAGGAGAAAGGUGAUCAAAGAAAGAUUUAUGUAUAAAAUGCAUUAGUAUAAAUUUCUGUGGGGGAAGUGGAAUGGAUACACAGGUUCCAAAAGAAAAUGAAACAAUACGAAAUUUCUGACAGGAAGCGUAUGAACAAAAAGUUUGAAGACAACUACUGAUGGGCCUGCUUGUCAGGAGAGCAGCACCCCGUCCAGCCCCUGGCAAGGGGGUUUUGCUUGAACCACAGUGAUGAGAAGUUUCCUUGGGCUCUUGGACUAAUAAAGUAUCUCAAUGGCUAGUCCCAGUUCCGUCAAAAUAACAACAAGGAAAAAUACCCAGACUCCUCUAUUCACCAGCUCACUCAUUCCCUUCCUACACUGCCCAGCCAGAGAUACUUGUCUGCAGUUCAUCAGGCCGGAGAACCUCACACUCUGGUUGCCAAUACAGAGUGCUUGGUGGUAAGAAGAGGCCUCUUAAUGGAUCCAAAUGUUAAGUUCUUACCAGAAGUUGCCACCAGGCUAGAUACAGAUAUUGCCAACUCCCCCAUCAGAAAAACAAAAGCAAGACUCUAGGCACCCAUAUUCAGAGCUUGUUAUGAGACUACUCUUAUGAGCGUAUAUAUAUAUGGUGAUUAUUUUGGGUAAACGGGAGUAGAUAAAUAAAAUUCAAAGUAAACUCUU